rnacentral:rRNA from 1 species
AAGACCUUGCACUUUUGGAGCGGCCGAUGUCUGAUUAGCUAGUUGGUGGGGUAAUGGCCUACCAAAGCUUCGAUCAGUAGCUGGUCUGAGAGGACGGCCAGCCACACUGGGACUGAGACACGGCCCAGACUCCUACGGGAGGCAGCAGUGGGGAAUUUUGGACAAUGGGCGCAAGCCUGAUCCAGCCAUGCCGCGUGAGUGAAGAAGGCCUUCGGGUUGUGAAGCUCUUUCAGCCGGGAAGAAAAGGUUGCGACUAAUAAUCGCAAUUCAUGACGGUACCGAAAGAAGAAGCACCGGCUAACUACGUGCCAGCAGCCGCGGUAAUACGUAGGGUGCGAGCGUUAAUCGGAAUUACUGGGCGUAAAGGGUGCGCAGGCGGUUUUGUAAGUCAGAUGUGAAAUCCCCGGGCUUAACCUGGGAACU